rnacentral:lncRNA from 1 species
UGGAAUCUAGGACUUCAGGGGUGGUAACUUCAUCUGCCCUGGGGUGGUUAUUCGGUUCAGGUCAAGGACAUUGACCACAGGAUUCCAGCAGCAGAAAACAUGUGGGUUAGACACUUGCUAGACCUCCCUGACCUUGGUCUUUGAAGAGAGCUGAAGGCCUGGUGCUUGGGGAAGAAAGAACCCUGCCCCCACUCUAAUCUGUAUAU